CUUUAGGCACGUGUAUAUUGUUAAACGUUGCCAUAAUUACCCAAAUUAAUGAUUCAUGAACAAAGAUUUAAUUCACUUAUAUGUUGUUUAUAUAAUUACGCGAUUGUUCUGCGAGUAAUUAAUGCGUUUCCUUCUCGGACGUUAUGUUUUAAAUGCAAUAUUUUUAUCUCUCCAUAAGUAGUUAUCUGGUUAGAUAUUCUUGUGCAUAUAAUUAGUAGAGUUUGUUGAGUUAUAUAGAGUUGUCAUCGCUUUCCUGUCAGAUGCAGAUGUCUGUUUAUUGCCGGCUAGAAGAACGACUAAAAAGGAAUGCUGGGAAUCGCAAGAAGGAGUAAUAGAAUUCGCUUAUUCGAAGAAAAUAGAAAUCCGAGAAGACUGUUACCGCCAGCUAUCGUUUUUCUCUCCAUUAAAAAAAUAAAUAAAAAUAUUUAGAGAAGAUUGGCGAUAUAGCCUAUACGAAAAUAUCCGAUAGAAACGUAUGUUUUCAUUCUUUUUAUUUCGCUCACUGCAGUUAUAACGGAAUUCUCACAUAAACACGCCAUUUGUAUCGUUUUUGCUAUUACAAAUUUUAGUUUUGUAUUUUUUUUUUCUUUUCGCUUGCGAGAGAUUGAUGACAGUAGUUUUGUACAUUGUUUCCAAUGCUGUUUACGAUAUAUUCUUUUUUUUUCGAGUACAGGAAGUCAGGUUGGAGAACUGUAGACUCUUGUCGACAGAUGGAGACAAACCUUAUCACUGCACCAUCUGUCAAAGUCCAGGUGCGAGUAGGUAGACCACGUCCAACAUCUGCCCUGCCACACCUGCUCGCUUUAGGCAACCUAGGUGGAGAUGGCCUAUUUUGUUUGCGGAGAAAACGGAACUAGAGUUUUUUCCCCCCUCCUCCCUAACUCGAUCACCAGCACAAAUCAACUUUGGCGAAUGAACAGUCGAACGAUUUCUCCACAUUUCUGUUAGCUUUUAAUCUCUAAACGAAUUACGGUCGAUCGUCUAUAGAUCAGGGAAUUCUACCGAUCUACAUUUACAUACCUCAGAAAUUGAACACGAAUUUGUGACUUCUUUCAUUUCCAUUUGCAGUCGUAACAUGUGUUCGGCGACUGGUUGCCGGUUUCAUUUGUUUUGCAGAUUUUUAGGAAAUAAGACCGACAACCGCACAAUAACAAACUUCUCUUGUAUAUAAAUUGGUCUAGAUUUUUUAGAACGAAUUGUAAACUAAAGUUUCAUUUCAUUAUCUAUUGUUAGGAAAUCGAUUUUUAUACCAGAACACUC
rnacentral:lncRNA from 1 species